GAUGAGCGCUGGCGGCGUGCCUAAUACAUGCAAGUCGAGCGAACGGACGAGAAGCUUGCUUUUCUGAUGUUAGCGGCGGACGGGUGAGUAACACGUGGAUAACCUACCUAUAAGACUGGGAUAACUUCGGGAACCGGAGCUAAUACCGGAUAAUAUUUUGAACCGCAUGGUUCAAAAGUGAAAGACGGUCUUGCUGUCACUUAUAGAUGGAUCCGCGCUGCAUUAGCUAGUUGGUAAGGUAACGGCUUACCAAGGCAACGAUGCAUAGCCGACCUGAGAGGGUGAUCGGCCACACUGGAACUGGGACACGGUCCAGACUCCUACGGGAGGCAGCAGUAGGGAAUCUUCCGCAAUGGGCGAAAGCCUGACGGAGCAACGCCGCGUGAGUGAUGAAGGUCUUCGGAUCGUAAAACUCUGUUAUUAGGGAAGAACAUAUGUGUAAGUAACUGUGCACAUCUUGGCGGUACCUAAUCAGAAAGCCACGGCUAACUACGUG
rnacentral:rRNA from 1 species